AAUGGUGUGUCCCUUGGCUCCUCUCAUUCUUGUUUCGUCAUCAUCUUUGUUCACCAAAAAUCUCUCUCCUCCAUUUUCGCCUUUCACAGACGCCACCCACCCUCACAGUUUUUUAGAUCUGUUGUGCAAAAACGAAAAAGGAAAAAAUGAAUAGGUGUGGUUAUCAGCAAAAGGCCUUGAUGGGUUGUGUUGGUGUUGGAGAAAUUAGACGGGGAGAUAUUUCUGUUUCUGAUGGUCUUGUUUACCCCAAACCUCGCCGGAAUGGGCUUUUCAAUGAACCCAUCAGACCUUCUCUAUUCCUCCAAAUCAAUAAUCAGCAAUCGGAGGGUUGCGAUUUGAAAGCCGGAACUGAACUUCUGGAUAUCAUCCUCAGCAAGGGGAAUUUUGAUAUGGCUUCAUCUCCACCGUUUUUUUUCGGAUCUCCACCCAGUAGGGCAUCGAAUCCCCUGAUUCAGGAUUCACAAUUCAGCAACAACAAUUUUGUUCCUAUACUAGCAAUUCCAGAAGCAGCAGCUGCUGCACCUUCUCCACCACAACCUUCCGCUUCCACUCGUAAGAGUGGAGGAGGAGGCUGUGCUCCGGUGAAAUUCGGGAUCAAGCCAGCUACUGUGAGGAUUGAGGGCUUCAAUUGCCGCAGCAGCAUCUCUGCUUUCGCUUAGGUAAAACCAGAAACCAACCAAAAACAAUAAAAAUGUGAGAUUUUUGGGAUGAGGUGAGUUACCAUAACGAAUUCGUUUUAGUCUUGUAUAUAUAGAGUGAAAAAAAAGAGAGUCAUCAUUCAACUCCUGUUUGUGAAUAUGUUUAUUAGGUGAUGAAUGAGUGUUCGUUUGAUAUCGGAAAAUAAAUACUUUUAGUAUAACCCAAAGAGAAGCGAUAAAUCAAAAGAUUGUUGUCUUUCGUUUGGGAUUAAUUAGGGUUCUUAUUUAGCAUUAGGCUAAAGUUUGUAUUGAGUAUCUACUGUAGUGUGAGAGAGUCUAAAAGAAAGACUUCUUCUUUUGUGACGGUAAAGUUUGUCACUCUUAUCCUUCAUUGUAAUUUUCAU